rnacentral:rRNA from 1 species
UACGUAGGCAGCGAGCGUUGUUCGGAGUUACUGGGCGUAAAGGGUGUGUAGGCGGUCUUUUAAGUUUGGUGUGAAAUCUCCCGGCUUAACCGGGAGGGUGCGCCGAAUACUGAGGGACUAGAGUGCGGGAGAGGAAAGUGGAAUUCCUGGUGUAGCGGUGAAAUGCGUAGAUAUCAGGAGGAACACCGGUGGUGUAGACGGCUUUCUGGACCGUAACUGACGCUGAGGGACGAAGGCUUGGGUAGCAAGAAGG